rnacentral:rRNA from 1 species
GAACUAAAGAGUUUGAUCCUGGCUCAGAUUGAACGCUGGCGGCAUGCUUUACACAUGCAAGUCGAACGGUAACAGGCCUUCGGGCGCUGACGAGUGGCGAACGGGUGAGUAAUGCAUCGGAACGUGCCCAGUCGUGGGGGAUAACUACUCGAAAGAGUAGCUAAUACCGCAUACGAUCUAUGGAUGAAAGCGGGGGACCGUAAGGCCUCGCGCGAUUGGAGCGGCCGAUGUCAGAUUAGGUAGUUGGUGGGGUAA